rnacentral:rRNA from 1 species
AUGGCGAGACCCACAAGCCAGUCGGUGGCCGCGUUCACCAUCCUGAUGCUCGCCGUGGCCACCCUCGCCAUCGCCCAGGCGCCGCCGCCGCCCAAACGGAGCCGCCAGGAGAUCCACCUGUUCGAGGUGACCGUCGGCCUGGCGGCCGCCGCCACGGAGGACGACUACUACCACCACCACUACCGCCUGCUCGCCACCGUGGUCGGCGGCAUCGAGGCCGCACGGAGCGCCAUGUUCGAGACCGCGCCCUUGAGGUUCAGCGCCUACCUCACCAACAACCAGGCCCGCAGACUAUCAAGAGUCACGGGGGUGCUGGGAGUUCGUCAGAGGGACGACCCUGUGCCCACGGACGACGACGGGCACUGA